CACCUCUUUUGGUGUAUUUGGUGCUCCCUGAUCACUGGACAGGGGUGUAACCAAAAUGUGAGAUCUUGCAUGUUAAAGCCAGAGUCUUCCUGUAAUUGAUGCUUGAUGUGUCUGAUGUUAUCCACUUUAGGAGAGGGCAAGGAUGUCCAACCUGUCAAUGAAGGGACAUGAGCUAGAAACAUUUCCAGCUUUUGAGUUCUUGUUCCUAUCCUUUUUGGAAGGCUUGUGGCUAAGAAGCUGUCUGGGAAGAAAGAGCUUGUGUAAGCAUGCUGCCUUAUUGUUGGCAUAGGGCUUUCAGGGGGAGUUCUGGGAGUUGCUGGGAGGCAGUGACCUUUGCCUUGGAUGCUCAGUGACAACCAGAAGUAAGAAUCUAUUGUCAAAGAGACACUGUAUUAUCCUAUAAAAAAACAACAACAACAACCCCAAGCCCCAUAAAAAAACACUCUGCUGUGUUAUUGAGCAUAAAAUACCUUUGACUGUGUUGGGAAUUCCAUGUGGCAGUGUUAUGUGUGGCUGUCAGGUGUUGGCAUGUAAUGCUGGUCUACAUUGUGGAUCACAGAAUUGUUGGGUUGGAAGUGGAAGUGUUGGGUUGUGUUUGAAUGAAAAAUUGUCUUUUAAAUGAAACACCCUAAGUUUGCAAAUUUUAGGAAGUUUUUGUUUUCCUCAUGUGGGAGCCAUUUGACAAGGAAAAUCAUUUUUCAUAAACAAAUCUGCUCUAACCUUCCAACUUUAUUCCAGUUUUUUACUACAGGUUUACACUUUAUUGAAAUCAAAGCAGCAUCUCCCACCCCCCAAAUAUGUAUUGUAUUUAAUUUGAGCAUUUUUCAUUAUCCUCUUCCUUCUCCUUAAAAGAAGAUGAUUCUUUAACUGUUACAGC